rnacentral:tRNA from 1 species
UAGCUCAGUGGUUAGAGCGAUGGUCUUAUGAGCCAUAGGUCGUGGGUUCGACCCCCUC